UUCUGAACUCUCUCCCUCAAU
rnacentral:miRNA from 1 species